UUGCAUGCAAGAAAGAAAAAAAAUUUCCUUUUUCUUUUUCUUUUCUUCUUCCUCCUUCCAGCCCUCACGUAGACUCCCCUUCAUAGUGUUUUUCCACCGCCGCCUCCUCACGCCUCAGCACAACAUGCCUCACCUUUGUCCAUCAUCCGCCGCUCAACCGUAGGUCUCAGUCAUCCAGUCGCGCAAGGUUUCGUUUGCUUCCAGCCGUCGCGAAGAGUCGCGCUCGUCUUCGUCGUUGACCCGAAACGACAAUUGAACAGCUGAAGUCGCAACUCGGAGCCGUGUCUCUUUCUCUCGCGGCACGCCGUCCUCUUCGUCGCCAGCCGUCGAUUCUAAUUGCUGUUGGAUCGAGGUGAUUCCGACCAAUCUGUCUGUUGGGGAAUGUGUGGCGGUGAAGGAAGUUUUCGAGCAGAGUAAGGGUUUGUUUUGGGUCAGUUCGUUAUCUCGAGGUAAGGGUAAUGAUAGACCGGCACAUGACAAGAGAGAUCCGUGACCUGGCCAUUAGGACGACUUACUGCUUCCGCAU